rnacentral:tRNA from 1 species
GCGGCCGUGGUCUAGUGGUCUAGGAUAGUGGCUUCCCAAGCCUCUGACGCGGGUCCGAAUCCCGCCGGCCGCA